rnacentral:lncRNA from 1 species
AGAUAUUUUGAAGACGAUGUAUAAAAUUAUCAUUAUUUUUAAAUACCCAAAUCUGAGGGUUGAUUGAGAAGAGGGGAAAAAUAAAUGCAAACAAAAAUCUCUUCCUUUUCAUAGGCUUUGGGAAGUAGAAUGGAUACUUUAAUUUUUUUGAUUACUUAUGAAUGGACAUCAAAACGUAUUUCUAGGUAGAAGGACAUGACAAGAUGACCAACUAGAAGGAGCUGCAGUUGGAGCGUCCCACCAAAACAAACCAAAUGGGGCUGGCAUUUCUUUUCCUGGGACAGUGGAGGACAACUUACUUUGAAAAUGUGAUGGGAGUUGACAAAAGAGGGAAUAAAUAAAAGAUUCUCUAUCAAGAACCUUGCUUAGUGGUGUUUAUUUAUUCCAAUGCUUAGACAAUGGAAGUUAACUACA